UCACCACGCAUUGUGCAUCGUUCGCCAUCAUUUUCACUCACAUACACAUACGCAGCACUUAUUCUUCUAGCGAUUACUUGAAUCGCAACACUCCAUUACGCCUCUCUCUCACCUUAAUUAAUCUUUUAAGUAAAGAACCAGUGGUAGUGGUGGUCUGCUUGUUGGUUCUGUAACCACCCAUGCUUGUAUCAUUCAAGGUGUUGUUCUUCGAUUCUUCUCCCUGUUUGUGGUAAGUAAAAGUCCUAAGGUAAGUUUCUACUUGCUUCGAUUGUCUUGUUUUCUCUUUCCUUAGCAUAACUAAACUCACCAGUCA